rnacentral:rRNA from 1 species
AUUGAACGCUGGCGGCAUGCCUUACACAUGCAAGUCGAACGGCAGCACGGGUGCUUGCACCUGGUGGCGAGUGGCGAACGGGUGAGUAAUACAUCGGAACAUGUCCUGUAGUGGGGGAUAGCCCGGCGAAAGCCGGAUUAAUACCGCAUACGAUCUACGGAUGAAAGCGGGGGACCUUCGGGCCUCGCGCUAUAGGGUUGGCCGAUGGCUGAUUAGCUAGUUGGUGGGGUAAAGGCCUACCAAGGCGACGAUCAGUAGAUGGUCUGAGAGGACGACCAGCCACACUGGGACUGAGACACGGCCCAGACUCCGACGGGAGGCAGCAGUGGGGAAUUUUGGACAAUGGGCGAAAGCCUGAUCCAGCAAUGCCGCGUGUGUGAAGAAGGCCUUCGGGUUGUAAAGCACUUUUGUCCGGAAAGAAAUCCUUGGCUCUAAUACAGUCGGGGGAUGACGGUACCGGAAGAAUAAGCACCGGCUAACUACGUG